GCCUACAAGUCCAUUCGACCCAAGAUUUAAGAAUCUGAAGUGCCUUUUAAAAUCUGAGUGGGACGAAGUAUGGAGCAUGCUUCCAGAAGUCUUAAAAGAGCAAUGUUCUGAUGUGGAAAGUACAGAACCAAACCACCAAAAAAGAAAAUCAACCUUCUGCUGGUGGCAUUUGACUCAGAUGAUGAAAAUGAACAUGCAUCGGUCCGCACUACUUUGGAUUGUUAUCGAACAGAACCCAUCAUCAGCAUGGACACGUUCUCUGGAAUGGUGGUUGAAGCAUGAAGGGAAAUAUGAAUCUUUAGGGCAUUUGGCAGGUAAAUAUUUUGCGAUGCCAGCUAUAUAACAGUACCAUGCGAAUGCCUAUUCUCAGUUUCAGGUGACAUUGUGAACAAGAAGAGGAGCACCAUU